rnacentral:rRNA from 1 species
GACGAACGCUGGCGGCGUGCUUAACACAUGCGAGUCGAACGGAAAGGCCCUGCUUUUGUGGGGUGCUCGAGUGGCGAACGGGUGAGUAACACGUGAGUAACCUGCCCUUGACUUUGGGAUAACUUCAGGAAACUGGGGCUAAUACCGGAUAGGGGCUCCUGCUGCAUGGUGGGGGUUGGAAAGUUUCGGCGGUUGGGGAUGGACUCGCGGCUUAUCAGCUUGUUGGUGGGGUAGUGGCUUACCAAGGCUUUGACGGGUAGCCGGCCUGAGAGGGUGACCGGCCACAUUGGGACUGAGAUACGGCCCAGACUCCUACGGGAGGCAGCAGUGGGGAAUAUUGCACAAUGGGCGGAAGCCUGAUGCAGCAACGCCGCGUGCGGGAUGACGGCCUUCGGGUUGUAAACCGCUUUCGCCUGUGACGAAGCGUGAGUGACGGUAAUGGGUAAAGAAGCACCGGCUAACUACGUG